CAUGUAUAUAAACGCCAUGCCUAAUAAUUGUAAUUCUUAAUUGUGCCAAUAAUAGUAGACAUAUUUGUUUUGGCUUCAGGGAAUUGAAGGAGCCUGACAGACAUUUUCAAGAAUCUGUGUGUAUAUUCUGCAAUGCGACAUUAAGAUAUAAAACCUGUUUUGGAAAGGCUGCAGUAUAGAGGAAAACACUACAUAAUCCUGGAGUUUGUUGGACUCAAUCCAAAGAAUUUUAAUGAGGAAAUGGAGUUACAAAGAAGUAUGUGACUUGCCUAUGGAGGCGCUGAGAUCCAGGCCAAGGUCACCUUGCAGCCAGGCUACUUUCUGUGGUGCAAUGAUAGAAUGUAAAACUUGUUGAUUGUGGGAAAGAAUCAACUUACUGCUGAUCCAGUAUAGACAUCUUAGUCGGUUUUAUUAACUAAUGUCAGGCAUGACAAUACUUUAUUUUCAAAUAGGAUUCUGGGACUUCUCUGGCUUCAGCCACUGGAAACUCCAAUUCUAAUAUUUGUGAAAAUAAAAUUCUGGUCAUAUGGCCAAAAGUGAACAGUAAGUAGCCAAAGUGAAACAUUAUUUUGUAGUCACUUUUAGUUUGUCUAUUAUACUGUGUUUCUUUAUUGCCCCUGAGCAAAUUAAAUUGGUCAAUUCAGUGGAGAAAAAUAAUCAACACGAAGCUUUGAAAUGACCAGUUGUUUAACUAGAAAAAUGGAAAAGUCUCAAUUUGUAGACACAGUCUAAAUGUGGAAAAAUCAUUAAACACUAAAACUCGAGGCAAACUUUACAAGUUCUCUUUCUAAAUUAAAAUCACAAUUAAUAUUAUGAGUCAUUACACUAUAGAGCUAGAUAUAAAUGUAAUUAAUUGAUGUUAGAAAUAUCAUACAAUUUAAUAGAAUUAUUUUACCAAUAGACUUGCAAUUGAGACUCCUUACUAUAAAAUAAGUCAUUUUGAUGGACUUUUUAGGGGGGGAAUCGUAAUAGACAGAGUUAAUAUGUAUUAUUUAUUCCCAGCAAUGUUUUUUAUUAUGCACAUGGGCCCAAAGGCUGAAGCAAUGGACAAGAAUUUUUAAAAAUAAAUUGAAAGAAUAAAUAAAUGAAAUAAAAUUAAA